UACAGAGGUCCCAAGCGUUGUUCGGAUUCACUGGGCGUAAAGGGUGCGUAGGUGGCCAGGUAAGUUUGGUGUGAAAGCUCGGAGCUUAACUCCGAAAAGUCAUUGAAUACUAUCUGGCUGGAGGGUCGGAGGGGAGACUGGAAUUCUCGGUGUAGCAGUGAAAUGCGUAGAGAUGUGGAGGAACACCGAUGGCGAAGGCAGCCCCCUGGGUCAAGAUUGACGCUCAUGCACGAAAGCGUGGGGAGCAAACAGG
rnacentral:rRNA from 1 species